rnacentral:lncRNA from 1 species
AAACAACUUUAGAAGACACCUGUGUGUCCCUCCCUGCUUGCAUCUAGCUUCUUCGUCUGCCCAGGUGGACUGCUCUUACCGUUGCAAAUCUGGGAGCACUCAGUUGUGGAACCCAGCCACCAUGUUGUGAAGAAGCCCUGUGCAGUGGUCCAAGUGACCAGGAGUCAAAGCUCCCAGCCAAUAGCCAGCACUAACUUGUCAGCAGUGUCAUGGAGCCCACUUGAAAGAGGAUUCUAAUUAUGCUGCCCAAGCUGUGGCCACAUGGAGGAGAGAUAUACAGUCCCUGCUGAACCCUGCUCUAAUUACAGGUUUGUGAGCAAAACUACUAAUUGUUAACUAAAUUUUGGGGUGGCUCAUUACA